UACGGGAGGCAGCAGUGGGGAAUAUUGGACAAUGGGCGCAAGCCUGAUCCAGCCAUGCCGCGUGUGUGAAGAAGGCCUUCGGGUUGUAAAGCACUUUUGUCCGGAAAGAAAAGCUUAGGGUUAAUAACCUUGAGUCAUGACGGUACCGGAAGAAUAAGCACCGGCUAACUUCGUGCCAGCAGCCGCGGUAAUACGAAGGGUGCAAGCGUUACUCGGAAUUACUGGGCGUAAAGCGUGCGUAGGUGGUUUGUUAAGUCUGAUGUGAAAGCCCUGGGCUCAACCUGGGAAUGGCAUUGGAAACUGGCUUACUAGAGUGCGGUAGAGGGGUGUGGAAUUCCCGGUGUAGCAGUGAAAUGCGUAGAUAUCGGGAGGAACAUCUGUGGCGAAGGCGACACCCUGGACCAGCACUGACACUGAGGCACGAAAGCGUGGGGAGCAAAC
rnacentral:rRNA from 1 species